rnacentral:rRNA from 1 species
GGAUGCGAUCAUACCAGCACUAAAGCACCGGAUCCCAUUAGAACUCUGAAGUUAAACGUUUUUUGGGUGAGAGUAGUUCUAGGAUGGGUGACCUCCUGGGAAGUCCUCGUGUCAAGCC